rnacentral:rRNA from 1 species
UACAGAGGGUGCGAACGUUGCUCGGAAUUACUGGGCGUAAAGCGCAUGUAGGCGGGUCUGCAAGUCAGAUGUGAAAUCCCCGGGCUCAACCCGGGAACUGCAUCUGAAACUGCAGGCCUUGAGUACUGGAGAGGGUGGCGGAAUUCCUGGUGUAGAGGUGAAAUUCGUAGAUAUCAGGAGGAACACCGGUGGCGAAGGCGGCCACCUGGACAGUAACUGACGCUGAGAUGCGAAAGCGUGGGGGAGCAAACAGG